AAGGAAACUCUCUGGCGCCUGGCUGUCGACGCUGUUCCCCUGCCCGGUAAUACGCACAUACGCGACACCCCAGUGGAGCCGUGUGGAUGUGGCGGAUUCGGAGGAGCGGCAGGGCAACAGCAGGCGCUGCAAUGCUCCCCGCGUGCGCAUAUCUCCUGGGAGCGCCGAGUGGCGCAGACGGUGCUACAGCAGAUCGCGGCCUACGUGCCCGGACCCAUAUCCUGGGUGAACGUGUGGC
rnacentral:lncRNA from 1 species